GAAUCCGUUGCUAUGGCUUUCAAGGUGACCACGCGGAAGCCUCUCCUGUGGUCUUCGGCAGUGUGAAAUUCCUCUGUAUAGCAUCAGUUCAAGCAUCCUUCAUAUCACCGAUCGUCGAGUAAAGAAAGACACCGCAAAGACACAGACGAGGAGAAAUAAGCGAACAAAUAACAUACCAUAUAAGAAUUAAAAAACAAAAAACUGUACGAACAAGAGACUGGUGACUUUCACAAACUACUUGGAGAUUUCAGCGAACCUAAGUAUGCUUAUGGAUGAACAAAGACAAAUAUCACUUCGAGGUUCGCAUUAAUAAAGUAAAGCGUUUAGACAAUAAAACACCUUUUUUACCCUUUAA